CCUACGGGUGGCAGCAGUGGGGAAUAUUGGACAAUGGGCGAAAGCCUGAUCCAGCCAUGCCGCGUGUGUGAAGAAGGCCUUCGGGUUGUAAAGCACUUUCAGUGGGGAAGAAAGCCUUGGGGCUAAUACCCUCGAGGAAGGACAUCACCCACAGAAGAAGCACCGGCUAACUCCGUGCCAGCAGCCGCGGUAAUACGGAGGGUGCGAGCGUUAAUCGGAAUUACUGGGCGUAAAGCGCGCGUAGGCGGUCUGAUAAGCCGGUUGUGAAAGCCCCGGGCUCAACCUGGGAACGGCAUCCGGAACUGUGAGGCUAGAGUGCAGGAGAGGAAGGUAGAAUUCCCGGUGUAGCGGUGAAAUGCGUAGAGAUCGGGAGGAAUACCAGUGGCGAAGGCGGCCUUCUGGACUGACACUGACGCUGAGGUGCGAAAGCGUGGGUAGCAAACAGGAUUAGAUACCCCAGUAGUC
rnacentral:rRNA from 1 species